AGCGAGAUACGUACUGGUGAAGCCAGCCCUGAAAAGGCCGGCGUCGGCGGUUCAAUCCCGUCCCUGGCCACCA
rnacentral:tRNA from 1 species